GUCACACAAACCAAACCAGUCUCACCCUUUCCCUCUCACACUUCAGCGCAUCUCUCACCCACCCUUUUCUCCCACUCCGUCAAACAUUCGUCACUUCGCCGAUCACCCUCUCUCACUCACCCUCUUCUCCCACUCCGUCAAACAUUCAUCACUUCACCGAUGACCCACUUCGCCAAUCACCCUCUCUCACUCACUCUCUUCUCCCACUCCGUCAAACUUUCAUCACUUCGCCGAUCACCCUCUUCUCUCACUCAGUCCAUUUGACAUUCAUCAUCUAGCACGAAAGAUUUGAAAAAGCAUAGCGAGGUGUACAGAGGUUUGAUAAAGUCUCCACUGUCACUCACAGAGCUUUGAGUUCCUCAAUCUACGCCAUUUCUCAAAACUAAAAUAAAAGGAAUUCUUUGUUGGCUGUGUCAAGUAAUACUAAUGUCAAUUUGAAGGCGGAGUAGGAUGCUGAAGGAGGGGGGAAGUUAUGUAGUACCAGAAAUGCUGAAGUAUGAUACAAAUCAUGUUAUUUUGCCAGUAUAUCUGUCCAAGUGAGCUUGUUGCUGAAACCAUUCCUUUUUAAGCAUUCUUUGUAGCUUGUGGGUUAUCAUUUCUCUUCACACGCACAUAAAAAGACUACAAGCUGGGUUUUGUUUGUUUGUUUGUUUUUUUUUUUUUUUGUUCCCCCAAGUUGAUAAGUUACCCAUGCACCCCAUGGGUUUUGAAACUACAACCUCACCCUUCACCCAUUAUUGCAAGAGGAGGAAAUGCCAUUUGAGCCAAAGCUCAUUGGCCACAAGACUAUAAGCAGUUAUUUUGGUAAUACAAUGAAACUGAUGAUUGGAGUUCUGCGAAAUAUCAUCAUGUAGUAGCAUUCGAUACCCGGCCCUUUAAAUGGGAAUCCGUCAAUCUCUCCAAGAUUGUCAAGGGGUCCACCGUAGUAUACAUUUAAAUCAAUAUUCUUUAGAGAUUGUGAAC